UGGAGAUCAAGUUUUUUUCUCCACUUCCAUCUAGAAAACAAAAGUAUAAUAUUGGUAACUAGGUACAUGAUCUGAUUUACAGCACAGAAAGGCCAAUACAACCAACUAGGAACAAACAAUUACUAUCAUCCUGUUCUAGAUAUAAAAAUCUUACAAAUUCGUGCAAGCGGGGCUAAUCAAUCUUGUUUGCUUUGUAUCUUUCAAAAUGAUACUACACAGGGACACGUUUUCCACGGUAGCGGUCAAAGAACGAUCUGAUAUAGGGCUGCUGGAAGAUCCAACCUAGAAUAGGUAUCUUCUGAAGAAAAACUGCCAAUGUUGGCCAGAAACCACUGAAAAGUACGACAAAUCCAUAUGCCUCAAGAAUCAUACCCAGUAUGGGCCAACCAAUUAUAACAAAGAAAAAGCCAACACCAAAUGAUAUUGUUCCCUUGAAAUUACUACGUUUACUAAAGAACUGUAGUGAUGACUUGAGACCAAUGGUCAGUGCCACCCCUGAGAAGAAGAGGAUAUUUCCCAUGGCAAUUAGUCCCUUGUCAAAGAAGAACACGAUCCCCAAGAAUGAGAAAAACACUCCAAAUCCCGUCAAUCCUAGCCCUAUCUUUUUGCGAUCAUUCAUUUCGAAGGAAAGCAUUUUGGCAGCUUCUAUUCAACCCAAACACAAUUCAAAACCUGAGAAAUUGAGAAACUAAAGCUCCGGUGGUGCCUUUACG
rnacentral:misc_RNA from 1 species